GACGAACGCUGGCGGCGUGCUUAACACAUGCAAGUCGAACGGAAAGGCCCUGCUUUUGUGGUGUGCUCGAGUGGCGAACGGGUGAGUAACACGUGAGUAACCUGCCCUUGACUUUGGGAUAACUUCAGGAAACUGGGGCUAAUACCGGAUAGGAGCUCCUGCUGCAUGGUGGGGGUUGGAAAGUUUCGGCGGUUGGGGAUGGACUCGCGGCUUAUCAGCUUGUUGGUGGGGUAGUGGCUUACCAAGGCUUUGACGGGUAGCCGGCCUGAGAGGGUGACCGGCCACAUUGGGACUGAGAGACGGCCCAGACUCCUACGGGAGGCAGCAGGGGGGAAUAUUGCACAAUGGGCGGAAGCCUGAUGCAGCAACGCCGCGUGCGGGAUGACGGCCUUCGGGUUGUAAACCGCUUUCGCCUGUGACGAAGCGGGAGUGACGGUAAUGGGUAAAGAAGCACCGGCUAACUACGUG
rnacentral:rRNA from 1 species